UCGAGGUGGGAACAGUACACAUUUAUUUGUUUGUCAUACCAAAGGAAAUUAUAUUCAUAAACAUUAAAUCACGCCCUUCCCUUUGACGGAGUUUCAUCGUGCAACUCAUCUUUGGGGUUGUGGCAUCAGACACACACUACAAUCACAAUCGCAAUUGCAGUCGCAUCCACCUGUCAAUUUAUUAAUGAGCUCAAAAACCUGUCCAGUCUUUACAUAAAUACUCGCUUGUGGCUGUGCGAGUAUUGGAGGCAUUCAUUCCUGCGAGGAGGACGCCGCGGCACACUCACUCACCUCCGUAAGAACCACAACAAAAAGCAACGGCGAGAUGUGGGCGGCGAUAAGUUACGAAAAACGCAAGCAGCGCAAUGUUCCAAAGAGGUGCACUGGAGUGAAAGACGCCUCAGAUCCCUUCCGACUCCAAAGCUAAUCAAAAGUUACAACACGCACGCGCGGCCGGUGCGGAUGGGUGGGGUGGCACUGGAGGUGGAGGUGGACUCCGACACACGAUCAAAGUCGUGCGGCAGAUGAUGAUGCAGACGGCUUGUACGCCCACACAAAGCAGUGCAGAGCAGUGCGGUUGUGUGUGUGUGUGAGUGAUGUGUUAAUCAAUCAACGAUCGCGGAUCGAUAGUAAAUUAUUUGUUUUGUAUAUUUUUGUUGGUUUAUUUACUGCAACGGCAGGUACGUGACUUGCCUUACACUUGCACAACAACCGCAAAUCGGAAUAAUCCACGCUUCGGCAGCGACCGAACCGAACCGACACCGACAAGAAGAAAAACAGACA